AUUCAGAUGACGAACUAAAACUGUUCAACUACUGAAUGAUACAGACGUGACCUAAAACUUAAUUCUGACAGAA
ensembl:snoRNA small nucleolar RNA SNORD5